rnacentral:rRNA from 1 species
AUUGAACGCUGGCGGCAUGCUUUACACAUGCAGGUCGAACGGUAACAGGGUGCUUGCACCGCUGACGAGUGGCGAACGGGUGAGUAAUGCGUCGGAACGUGCCGAGUAGUGGGGGAUAACGCAGCGAAAGUUGUGCUAAUACCGCAUACGUACUGAGGUAGAAAGGGGGGGACAUUCGGGCCUCACGCUAUUCGACCGGUCGACGUCUGAUUAGCUAGUAGGUGAGGUAAAGGCUCACCUAGGCGACGAUCAGUAGCGGGUCUGAGAGGGUGAUCCGCCACACUGGGACUGAGACACGGCCCAGACUCCUACGGGAGGCAGCAGUGGGGAAUUUUGGACAAUGGGCGAAAGCCUGAUCCAGCCAUGCCGCGUGUCUGAAGAAGGCCUUCGGGUUGUAAAGGACUUUUGUCAGGGAGGAAAUCCCUAGUGCUAAUAACACUGGGGGAUGACAGUACCUGAAGAAUAAGCACCGGCUAACUACGUGCCAGCAGCCGCAGUAA